CAUCGCNUGAGGAGGAGGUUUUUGGAUUGUAAACCUCUUUUCUCAGGGAAGAAUUUUGACGGUACCUGAGGAAUAAGCAUCGGCUAACUCCGUGCCAGCAGCCGCGGUAAUACGGGGGAUGCAAGCGUUAUCCGGAAUUAUUGGGCGUAAAGAGUCCGUAGGUGGUCAUGCAAGUCUGCUGUCAAAGCCCACAGCUUAACUGUGGAUCGGCGGUGGAAACUGCAUGACUUGAGUACGGUAGGGGUAGAGGGAAUUCCCAGUGUAGCGGUGAAAUGCGUAGAUAUUGGGAAGAACACCGGUGGCGAAAGCGCUCUACUGGACCGUAACUGACACUGAGGGACGAAAGCCAAGGUAGCGAAAGGGAUUAGAUCCCCC
rnacentral:rRNA from 1 species